UGCCCAAUUGUGAGAUGAUGAAUGAGAAAAUAAGUCGAUUUCCGAUUUCCACAUUCAGAAACGAAAAACUAGCCGUUUUCCAACGACGUCCCAAUGGAAGGAAAAUACAAGGACCCGGUCGGUCAUCUAGCGUCAUCUGUCAUCGUCUUCAAAGGCGCAAAACGACCCUUGUGCCCAGCUUUGAUCUGAUUGAACGACAAUGAACCUCUCAAACUGCAGCAAAACUUUGAAAUGGUUGCUAAAAGAUGUAGAAGCUUCACUGUAGUUGGUGAAGUGAGUUAGCAAGUCAGGGUUUCGUUUUUGGACAGCCCAGGUUGUGAAGUGGGGGGCGGUCUAGCCUAGAUAUUCUCCUCUAGAUGGCCAGUUAUAUUUCAAGAUCUACCUUUGCCUCGCUUGCAUCGGCAGCAGGUGUUAUCAUACAACGAUAACGAGUCGCGAGAGACAAGGCAUAUCGCUCUACAAUAUUCACUCAUAUACUAUUGUGGAUGUGGAGGGAACCGUUGAGUUGAGAACGGAGUCAACACACGAAUAAGGUGUAGCCUUCAGUAGCUUGACCAGUUUGAAGUGACCCUAACCUAUCACAGGGUGCAGCACUUAAGUGAGUGGAGUCAUCUGAAGGAGUGACCAAUGAGUCCCUUCGCUUGCUGGGUGACCUUCUGUUCUCUGCCUAUCUGGUGGAUCGUUCCUGCUGCAAAUCUCUGAACAGAGGGCCAAUGCUGGAGAGACGCUGGGCUCGUGUGAUGGCAGAGACUGCUCAGUGUGCAGCUGUCUCCCCGCCAAGGGAGCCCGGGGGGCCCCAGGGAAGCUGGGGAAGCAGGGGCCACAGGGCCCAGAUGGCAUCGGGGGCUCCGCAGGGCCUCACGGAGAGAAGGGGAGGAGGGGUGUCGAGGGACCACCUGGGCUGGAUGGGAAGAAAGGGGAAAGGGUGAGUGUCUGGGUGUGACUUUGUGGGUUUGACUUUGUGGGUGGGACUUUGUGGGUUUGACUUU
rnacentral:lncRNA from 1 species